GACGAACGCUGGCGGCGUUCCUAAUACAUGCAAGUCUAACGCUUCUUUCCUCCCUUUUGCUUGCUCUCAAUUGGUUUGAGGAGUUUCGGACGGGUGAGUAACACUUUGUUAACUUACCCCUCAGUGUGGGAUAACACUUGCAAACAGGUUCUAAUACCUCAUAACACUUUAUUCCGCAUUUCAUAUGCGUUAAACUCUCUUUCGUUUCUCGCUCCUUGAUGGACCCGCGGUUCAUUAGUUAGUUGGUGAGGUAACGGCUCACCCAGGCCACGAUGCGUAGCCGACCGGAGAGGGUGAAAGGCCACACGGGGACUAGGACACGGGCCAGACUCCGAGGGGAGGCAGCAGAAGGGAAGCAUCGGCAAUGGACGAAAGUCUGACCGAGCAACGACGCAUGAGUGAAGAAGUCUUUCGGAGCGGAAAACUCUGUUGUAAGAGAAGAACAAGGAGGUAAGUAACUGAACGUCCCGUGAAGGUAUCUAACCAGAAAGCCAAGGCUAACUACGUG
rnacentral:rRNA from 1 species